GACGAACGCUGGCGGCGUGCUUAACACAUGCAAGUCGAACGGGCCCGCCCCUGUUUUUGGGGGUGGGUUGAGUGGCGAACGGGUGAGUAUCACGUGAGUAACCUGCCCCCUGCUCCUGGAUAACUGCUUGAAAGGGCGGCUAAUACGGGGUGUGCCGGCUGGUCCGCAUGGGCCUGGUCGGGAUAGUUUCAUCUUCGGGUGUUUCGGUGGGGGAUGGGCUCGCGGCCUAUCAGCUUGUUGGUGGGGUGAUGGCCCACCAAGGCGGUGACGGGUAGCCGGCCUGAGAGGGUGGGCGGCCACACGGGGACUGAGACACGGCCCAGACUCCUGCGGGAGGCAGCAGUGGGGGGUAUUGCACAAUGGGCGGAAGCCUGAUGCAGCGACGGCGCGUGAGGGAUGGAGGCCUUCGGGUUGUGAACCUCUUUCUCCGGUGGUGAAGGCCCUGUCCGUUGCGGCGGGGUUGACGGUAGCCGGGGAUGAAGCGCCGGCUAACUACGUG
rnacentral:rRNA from 1 species